CCUCUGAGCAUCUGUUAGGGUACAGACCUUCUGUGGAGAGAACAGGCUUACUCCAAGGAGGAAUUCCUGUGAACUGGAGCUCCACACUGGGGAUGAGGGGCAAUAAUCAGAGCAAAGCACUCUGCACACUCCCAGAUUCAACCCUAUUCAGUGUGUUCAUAACUCACAAGUCCUGACCAACUGAGGGAGAAAGCCAGGGAAAUGAAAUGAUUUUCAAAGCGCUUCAAGACCACUGUCUAGCUGAGGAUAGCAGAAGACACAGAUUUACUGCCACUGGGCGAUGUUUGGCAUGGAGAUGUGGAAAGAGAUGACAGAAGCCAGGUCUCUUGUUUCCAGGUAAUAGUUUCUCCAAGAAGCCUUGUCCUAGAAGUUAUUCAUCCUUACAUGCUUCAGCAUGAUAAAUAGCUUCAUUCAGCACCCUGAGAUGACCCAGCAGCCUAGCGCAUCAGAGGGGUAGAUGUAGCCCACACUAAAUUGCCUUUAGUGAACUGAGCAUUGACAUUAUGCCAUUGGAUUGCAUUGACUGGUCUUAUAAGAACCAGCACUUUC
rnacentral:lncRNA from 1 species